rnacentral:rRNA from 2 species
GCCGAUCGGCGGCGACGCGUAACGCACGACGCGCCCGUUCGAAAUCCGGUAGCGCACGACCUGCAGGCGCGGCGCCGCGCCCGGCGCGUCGAACUCGCGCACGAUCUGCAGCGUGUCGCCCGCGACGCGCACCGCGGGCUGGCCCGCUUCGUCGUCGGUCGCCGCGCGCCGCGCGUCGAUGCGCAUCUGGUCGAACAUCUGCGCGAACACGCGCUCGUCCUCCAUCGCGGCCGCCACCUUCUCGCGGCCGCGGAUGAUCUGGUCGAGCCCGCGCCACGACAGGAUCGCGAUCACCGCGAGAAUCGUGAUCGCGAUCAUCAUUUCGAUCAGCGUGAAGCCGCGCGCGCUGUGGCGCGCGCCUCGCCGGAAGGCGCGGCGCGCCCGCCGCGGGCGUUUCUCGCCGGGCGCGCGGCGCUCAGAGCGGACGGCUGGUUUCAUUCGCGACCACCGUCACCAUCUGCGCGAGCACGCCGGCCCGUCCGUUCAUCGACACCGCGAUCUCGACGCGCCUGAACACGGGAUUCGGCGUCGAGCUCACGCGCUGCGUGCAGGUGAGCGCGACGUUGCCCUGCGAGCAGUUGAACGUCUGCAUGCCGAUGUCGGGCCACGCGUGCGCGAGCCGCAGUUGCGCGAGCGCGUUGUCCGCGCUCCAGCCGGCGAGCAGGCGCGCGUGCAGAUCGGACGCGCCCGUGGCCAUCGAGCCCACCGCGCGGAUCGACGCCGCGAGCGCGACCGCGAUGAUCGCGAGCGCGACGAGCACCUCGAUCAUCGUGAAGCCGCGCGAGCGCGCGGGAGAGCGGGGCGGGGCGGGCGCGCGCAUCGUCACCGCACCUCGUAGCGGCCGUUGCCGGUGCCGACGAUCGUCGCGCUGCCGACCGCCGAAUACAGCGUGACGCGCACCGGCACGUCGAUGCUUUCGGUGCCGAAUACGACCGCGUCCGUGUGCGUGUCCGAGCCGGGAUAGUCGAUCGCCGCGCCCGUCACGCCGCCAUCCCAGUCGCGCGCGCGCAGCACGUCGUCGCGCAGUGGGCGCCAGCCGUCGCCCGUGCGGAUGUCGAAACGGAAACCAUGCUCGGUGGCGCGCCACGCGAUCGGCCGCGCACGCACCUGCGCUUCGUCGCCCGCCGUCUCGAACAGCAGCGCGAUGCGCUGCGCUUCCUCGCGCAGGUCGGUGCGCGGGUUGCGCCUGAGCGUGAGCGACGCGACCGACACCAGGAUGCCCGCGAUCACGAGCACGACGAGCAUUUCGAGCAGCGUGAAGCCGCGCGCGCGGCGCGCCGAGGCGGUGCCCGCCGGGCGCCCGGACGAGACACCCGCGCACGCGCCGGCGCGCGCUUUCGCGGCCCCGCCGAGGGCGG